rnacentral:rRNA from 1 species
CCUACGGGCGUCAGCAGUGAGGAAUAUUGGUCAAUGGGCUUACGCCUGAACCAGCCAAGUCGCGUGAGGGAAGACUGCCCUAUGGGUUGUAAACCUCUUUUGUCAGGGAGCAAUUGGCGCUACGUGUAGCGUUAUCGAGAGUACCUGAAGAAAAAGCAUCGGCAAACUCCGUGCCAGCAGCCGCGGUAAUACGGAGGAUGCGAGCGUUAUCCGGAUUUAUUGGGUUUAAAGGGGGCGUAGGCGGAAUGCCAAGUCAGCGGUAAAAGCGCGGGGUUCAACCUGGCUGCGCCGUUGAAACUGGCGUUCUUGAGUGGGCGAGAAGUAUGCGGAAUUCGUGGUGUAGCGGUGAAAUGCAUAGAUAUCACGCAGAACUCCGAUUGCGAAGGCAGCAUACCGGCGCCCAACUGACGCUGAAGCACGAAAGCGUGGGUAUCGAACAGGAUUAGAUACCCUAGUAGUC